rnacentral:rRNA from 1 species
CCUACGGGUGGCAGCAGUGAGGAAUAUUGGUCAAUGGAGGCAAGUCUGAACCAGCCAAGUAGCGUGCAGGAUGACGGCCCUAUGGGUUGUAAACUUCUUUUAUGCGGGGAUAAACUGCGUCACGUGUGGCUUUUUGCAGGUACCGCAUGAAUAAGGACCGGCUAAUUCCGUGCCAGCAGCCGCGGUAAUACGGAAGGUCCGGGCGUUAUCCGGAUUUAUUGGGUUUAAAGGGAGCGUAGGCCGCCUCUUAAGCUUGGGGUGAAAGGCCGCGGCUCAACCAUGGAAUUGCCGUGGGAACUGGGGGGCUUGAGUGCGUUGGAGGCAGGCGGAAUGCGUGGUGUAGCGGUGAAAUGCUUAGAUAUCACGCAGAACCCCGAUUGCGAAGGCAGCCUACCGUGGCGUUACUGACGCUGAGGCACGAAGGCGUGGGGAUCGAACAGGAUUAGAUACCCGGGUAGUC